AUUGAACGCUGGCGGCAGGCUUAACACAUGCAAGUCGAGCGGAGCGAGGGUGCUUGCACCUUAGCUUAGCGGCGGACGGGUGAGUAAUGCUUAGGAAUCUGCCUAUUAGUGGGGGACAACAUUCCGAAAGGAAUGCUAAUACCGCAUACGCCCUACGGGGGAAAGCAGGGGAUCUUCGGACCUUGCGCUAAUAGAGGAGCCUAAGUCGGAUUAGCUAGUUGGUGGGGUAAAGGCCUACCAAGGCGACGAUCUGUAGCGGGUCUGAGAGGAUGAUCCGCCACACUGGGACUGAGACACGGCCCAGACUCCCACGGGAAGCAGCAGUGGGGAAUACUGGACAAUGGGCGGAAGCCUGAUCCAGCCAUGCCGCGUGUGUGAAGAAGGCCUUUUGGUUGUAAAGCACUUUAAGCGGGGAGGAGGCUACUUAGAUUAAUACUCUGGGAUAGUGGACGUUACUCGCAGAAUAAGCACCGGCUAACUCUGUGCCAGCCGCCGCCGUAA
rnacentral:rRNA from 1 species